CCUAUGCUUCCUGGUUGAUGUUUUGGUCACUUUUGAAUGCUGGUGGUGCUUUCACUCUAGUGGUAGGGUAGCAUGUGGCUCAGGUAGUGCAGCUAAUUCAGGAUGGCACAUCAAUGUGAGCUGUGGCAAGAAGGUUUGCUGUGUCUGUCAGCGUAGUGUCCAGAGCAUAGAGGCGCUAUCAGGAGACAGGCCAGUACAUCAGGAGAUGUGGAGAAGGCCGUAGGAGGGCAACAACCCAGCAGCAGAAC